CCGCCCUAUUCUCGACCGUCCAUAUCCCCGUGGAUUCAUAAUUAUGUAUACAUUGUCGAGAAUAAGCAUUGUUUAAAUAAAAACGAUCACAAUCCUGUACACAUGAGUGGUGAAAUCCUUCAAAGCAUGACACAAAGUUAGUAUUCAAUGCCUGUCAGUAAUAUUAAACUGAAAUUUCACAUCCUCUUAUUGUGUUCACAGUGCAAAACAUCAUAAAACAAUAUAUUGGCCGUACUCUCAAUCGUGCUUCUUUCUGUGGAUCCGUAAUUGUGCUUCAAUAGAGCGUCGUCCUUAAAGAAUAGUGCAUACAUUUCUAAGAGUCAGCAUUGUUUAACAGAUUGUAAUCCUGUACACACAAAUGAUGGAAUAUAAUAGCAUGACACCAGGUAGGCAUUCUAUGCAUGUCAGUAAAUUAUAACUUGACUAUUAAGAUUUGUGAAGGAGUGAGAUGUCAUAGAUCCGCUAUAAAAUGUGUUGUUUUAUUCUGUCCAUGCAUUAAAGGGCCAGAUUAGGGUUAGGGUUAGGGUUAGGGUUAGGGUUAGGGUUAGGGGUUAGGGUUAGGGUUAGGGUUAGGGUUAGGGUUAGGGGUUAGGGGUUAGGGUUAGGG
ensembl:lncRNA